rnacentral:rRNA from 1 species
UUGACGGGGCCGCACAAGCGGAGGAACAUGUGGUUAAUUCGAUGAUACGCGAGGAACCUUACCUGGGCUUAAAUGUAGAGUGCAUUUUUAGAGAUAGGAAUUCCCUUCGGGGCUUUCUGCAAGGUGCUGCAUGGUUGUCGUCAGCUCGUGCCGUGAGGUGUCGGGUUAAGUCCCAUAACGAGCGCAACCCUUAUCGUUAGUUGCCAUCUGGUAAUGCAGGGGACUCUAGCGAAACUGCCACCGUAAGGUGAGAGGAAGGUGGGGAUGACGUCAAAUCAGCACGGCCCUUAUGUUCUGGGCUACACACGUGCUACAAUGGCCGGUACAGACGGACGCAAAGCCGCGAGGUGGAGCAAAUCCUAAAAAGCCGGUCUCAGUUCGGAUUGCAGGCUGCAAUUCGCCUGCAUGAAGUCGGAAUCGCUAGUAAUCGCAGGUCAGCAUACUGCGGUGAAUACGUUCCCGGGCCUU